CACGUAGUUAGCCGGUGCUUUUUCUGCAGGUACCGUCACUUUCGCUUCUUCCCUACUAAAAGAGGUUUACAACCCGAAGGCCGUCAUCCCUUACGCGGCGUUGCUGCAUCAGGCUUUCGCCCAUUGUGCAAUAUUCCCCACUGCUGCCUCCCGUAGGAGUCUGGGCCGUGUCUCAGUCCCAGUGUGGCCGGUCACCCUCUCAGGCCGGCUACCCGUCGUCGCCUUGGUGAGCCAUUACCUCACCAACAAGCUGAUAGGCCGCGAGUCCAUCCCCAACCAAAAAUCUUUCCACCACCAGACCAUGCGGCCAGUGAUCAUAUCCAGUAUUAGACGUCGUUUCCAACGCUUAUCCCAGAGUCAGGGGCAGGUUACUCACGUGUUACUCACCCGUUCGCCACUAAUCCACCCAGCAAGCUGGGCAUCAUCGUUCGACUUGCAUGUGUUAAGCACGCCGCCAGCGUUCGUCCUGAGCCAGGAUCAAACUCU
rnacentral:rRNA from 1 species